rnacentral:tRNA from 1 species
GCCACCUUAGCUCAGUUGGCAGAGCGACGGUUUCGUAAACCGUAGGUCUCCGGUUCAACCCCGGAAGGUGGCUCCA